AUGAUGAAAGAUAGAAGUACCUCAGAGCAUUGUCCUUGUCCUUUGCCGCCUCCUCAUAUUCCUCUGAAUCACUCCUCUGUUCUUCCUCUUCUUCCGAUGAGCCUCCGCCACGCUUGUGGAGUUUCUUUUUAUGGUGGUAUCUAUGUGUUGGUUUCCAUAUGCGCUUUUCUAUUUCUUCCUCUUCUUUUCCAUUUCUUUUGUCCAAGCCCCAGGACUCUUGGCUGCGUUCUUCGUCCGGCUCUUCUCUCUCUUCCUCUGAGAGCUCCUCAUCACGUUUCUGUCUCCUCUGGUGGUACCUGCCGGCCCUCCACUCUCUCUUAUCUCUUCCAGUAUCAAAGUCCCAGUACUCUUGGCUGCGUUCUUCAUCGGGCUCUUCUCUCUCUUCCUCUGAGAGCUCCUCAUCACGUUUCUGUCUCCUCUGGUGGUACCUCCCGGCCCUCCAGUCUCUCUUAUCUCUUCCGGUAUCAAAGUCCCAGUACUCUUGGCUACGUUCUUCAUCGGGCUCUUCCCUGGCUUCCUCUGAGAGCUCUUCAUCACGUUUGUGUCUCCUCUGGUGGUACCUUCCAGCCCUCCAGUCCCUUUUGUCUUUCUCACCUUCGAGACCCCAAGAUUCCUGGCUGCGUUCUUCAUCAGGCUCCCCCCUGGCUUCUUCUGCGAGCUCUUCAUCACGUUUGUGUCUCCUCUGGUGGUACCUUCCAGCCCUCCAGUCCCUCUUGUCUUUCUCACCUUCAAGACCCCAAGAUUCCUGGCUGCGUUCUUCAUCAGGUUCUUCCCUGGCUUCUUCUGCAAGCUCUUCAUCACGUUUGUGUCUCCUCUGGUGGUACCUUCCAGCCCUCCAGUCCCUCUUGUCUUUCUCACCUUCAAGACCCCAAGAUUCCUGGCUGCGUUCUUCAUCAGGCUCUUCCCUGGCUUCUUCUGCAAGCUCUUCAUCACGUUUGUGUCUCCUCUGGUGGUACCUUCCAGCCCUCCAGUCCCUCUUGUCUUUCUCACCUUCAAGACCCCAAGAUUCCUGGCUGCGUUCUUCAUCAGGCUCUUCCCUGGCUUCUUCUGCGAGCUCUUCAUCACGUUUGUGUCUCCUCUGGUGGUACCUUCCAGCCCUCCAGUCCCUCUUGUCUUUCUCACCUUCGAGACCCCAAGAUUCCUGGCUGCGUUCUUCAUCAGGCUCUUCCCUGGCUUCUUCUGCGAGCUCUUCAUCACGUUUGUGUCUCCUCUGGUGGUACCUUCCAGCCCUCCAGUCCCUCUUGUCUUUCUCACCUUCGAGACCCCAAGAUUCCUGGCUGCGUUCUUCAUCAGGCUCUUCCCUGGCUUCUUCUGCGAGCUCUUCAUCACGUUUGUGUCUCCUCUGGUGGUACCUUCCAGCCCUCCAGUCCCUCUUUUCUCUCUCAUCGUCAAGACCCCAAGAUUCCUGGCUGCGACUGCUAUCUUCAUCUUCCUCCUCACCACGUUUGUGGAGCUUUUUCUUGUGGUGGUAGCGAUGUGUGGGCUUCCAUAUGCGCUUGUAUCUCUCCCCCUCAUCCUCGUUCCCAUGCCUUUUGUCUACAUCCCAGUACUCUUGGCUACGUUCUUCCUCUGGCUCCUCCCUCUCUUCUCCUAAAGGUUCCUCAUCUCGUUUGUGUUUUCUUUGGUGGUAUCUUCCAGGCCUCCAGUUCCUCUUCUCUCUGUCUUCGCCUUCUUCUUCUUCUUCUGAUCUCUUCUCCUCUAAACCCCAACUCUCCUGACUGCGUUCGUUGUCUUCUUCUCCUCCUCGUUUGUUUUUCCGUUGGUGGUAUCUUCCAGGCCUCCAGCUGCUCCUCUUCUCCCGCUCUUCUUCCUCCUCAUUCUCAUGUCUCUUCUCCUUCUCGUCACCCAGACUCCAGGAUUCUUGGCUGCGCUCGUCUUCUGGGAUUUCUCUUUUUUCCUCCACGGAUUUCAGGAGAGCCUCGAUGUCUUUCACAUCUGCUCCCUUUGCCUCAGGCACUUCAGGAUGACCUUUGA
rnacentral:lncRNA from 15 species